AAAGCAGGGAUUGUGUGUAUCGGCGUUGUGCCAUGAUGAAUGCACUACGUAUCCGAAAGAGUUCCCUGCAAAACUAACCAGGGGAAGAUGGGCAGUUGUGGUUCAUUUUCCGCCGUUGAUUUCUCAACAAUCAUCUUCCCCACAUUU